UGUGUCUUGGAGUUUCUCUUCUCGAGGAGUAUCUUAUGGUGUUCUCUGUAUUUCCUGAAUUUGAAUCUUGGCCUACCCAGGCUUUGUGGCUCAUGUCUGUAAUCCCAGCACUUUGGGAGACUAAACUUCAAGUCAAGCAUGAAGCUUUUCACUCUAAAUCAGUUUUUACUUCUAAAUUAGUUCCACAAAACAGCAUCCAUUAAUCAAGGUUGAGUGCAAGUGUCUGACGUGGGCUUCCAGAUCUGCAUCCCUAAUCCCUGGAGGCCCUUCAUCCUCUGCCCUUUCUUGCCCUUGUAGCCUCAUCUCUUCCCUCUCAAGGGCUCCCUGUUUCUCAGCCUUUCACCCAACAUGCUUCUUCACACUCUAGGGCCAUGGCACGUUUUGUUCUUUCUGCCUGUGCCCUUCAAGUGCAGCACCAUGUGCUCCAUCCUUUCCUCACCCAGCCCCAGCUCACCUUUA
rnacentral:lncRNA from 1 species